UACAUUUGGAAACAAUUUUGAUUUUUAAAUGUUUUCUUAGAGAAAGAAUGAGAGUCAGGCUUUUCUGAACUGGUACCUAAUGAAUGGCCUAUCUCACUAUUUCUCAUUCAGGGCAAGAAGUCGGUUUUGACAACGAAAGGGUUUCACAGAGACUUGGUUUUAAAGAAUAAUCUUCAUCGGCUAUAUAAUUGUUUUCUAGUUAUCCAAUUUUUUUAUGUCGAAAAACUUUCUAUUGAACAAACUUGUUGCUCAAUUUAGCAUCUAUUAUCAAGGUAUAACCAGUCAUUUGCAUCUGCUUAAAAAAAAAAAAAAAAAAAAAAAUUGACUGUAAAACAUGAAGAUCAAGGAUGUUUUCAUGAUGAUGGUCAUUUUCUCUUCUUACGUUAUGUGGUUUGUGUUCAAAAGUAUGGAUGAUGAGGAUUCGUUUGUAUUUUCGUAUACAUUCAUUGUAAUUUAUACUAUUGUUAUAGCUUAUUUCCUUUCUAUCUAUAUUGUAGUCCUCAUGUGAGGUGUUUACACAUCCUCGCCUUUUUAUAUAUGAUAAGGAUUACAAGAAGUCAGGAAUAAGUUUUGUUUUCGGGGUGAAAGUAAGUGUUGUGUAUAAAAUCUUAUGCUGUGAAAUGUUGUUCUGUUUAUUUGUAAUGGUAGUUCUUGUCUCCGAUUAUCAAAUUUUAGUUUGAAAUUUCGAGGACGAAAUUAUUUUAACGGGGGAAGGAUUGUAAUAUCCAACAUUUUCAUAAUACAUUUAUUUAUUAUAAAUCAAAGUUUUAAUACAUAAAAUGUACAACUUUACAAAUUUAAGAAAUAGUAAUGGAAAAAUAGUGUUUAAAAUAUGAUUUUAUGUUUUUAAUGAGAUUAAAGAAAGAGAAACUUGAGUAGUCAAGUAUUGGACCCAAAUGUCAUAUAAUUUUAAUUGGGGAUUUUUAUAAAAUUAAGAAAGUUUGGCUAAAGGGCUUAUUUGAAAAGAAUUUUAGUAUUUUGGGUCCAAGUAUAAUUUUUAAAAAUAAAUAAAUAAAUAAAUAAAAUAAAAAUAAAAUAAAAGGCUUCAGCCUUUCAUUUUACCCGAGCCCCUCUCUCUCUCUCCUCAGAAACCCUCUCUCUCUCUCUCCUCAGAAACUCUCUCUCUCUCUCUCUCUCUCUCUCUCCUCUGCGUAUUACUGUUGCCGACGACGCAGGAGUACUUUCCGGCCACCAUUUUUAGCCACGCGCCGGACCGUUGGAUUCAGAGGCCUCCGAACUAUCGACCAACGCGGGAAUCUAGAGCUCACUCGCCGAUUAAACGCCUCAACCACUCGAUUUAAGUUCGGCCACCCCGCGACUUCAAAGUUGCGAUUCGGCCACCUCGGGCAUCCGUUUGCCGAUCCGUCACCACCAUCGUGCUCCUCGUGUUGUGGGCUUCAAAACCCAAUAACUUGUUCCUACAUCUACCAUAGUUGGGUGGUGGGCCCACCACGAGCCACCGCGAUCCACCGUAGAUCGACGGUCGAAACUUAGUGUUCGAGGUUCCGAAGUACGUUUUGAGUCUCAGAAAAUCAUCGUUUGACUUAUUGUGGAACCCGAUCAUUUUGGAUUUGUAUGGAUUUGAUUGAUUGACUCUUGGUGAGGAAUUUUAAAAUAAGCUAAGGACCUAAGGUGUGGCUUUAGCUGUUGAGCAACUUGUGGAGCACGGACUCAGUAGCAAUGCAAUAAUGGUUUUAGAGUUUUCAUAUGGCUGCCUUAAAUUUAAAGUAUUCAUACGUGUAAUAAUUUCUUCUAAUAAGUUUAUAUAAAAGUUUUAAAUUUUUCUGUA